rnacentral:rRNA from 1 species
GGGGGGGGGGGGGGGGGGGGGGGGGGGGGGGAAGGGGGAGGGGGGGGGUGGGGAAGUUCGUUGGGGGGGGGAGGGGAGAGGGAAGUGGCGGGGGGGGGAGGAACGGGUGAGGAACGGACCGUACAAAGGGGGAUAGGCGGUGGGAACGACGAUUAGACCCGCAUGAGCGCACGGAAUAGCAUGAUAUCGGAGUCCAAGAUUUCUCGGUGUAAGAAGGGCUCGCGUCUGAUUAGCGAGUUGGAAGGGUAAAGGCCUACCAAGGCGACGAUCAGUAGCCGGUCUGAGAGUAUGAACGGCCACAUUGGAACUGAGACACGGGCCAAACUCCUACGGGAGGCAGCAGUGGGGACUAUUGCACAAUGGGGGGAACCCUGAUGCAGCGACGCCGCGUGAGCGAAGAAGGUUUUCGAAUCGUAAAGCUCUGUCCUAUGAGAAGAUAAUGACGGUAUCAUAGGAGGAAGCCCCGGCUAAAUACGUC